ensembl:snRNA U6 U6 spliceosomal RNA
GUGCUCGCUUCGGCAGCACAUCUACUAAAAUUGGAGCAAUACAGAGAAGAUUCGCACGGCCCCUGCGCAAGGGUGACAUGCACAUUCAUGAAGCAUUCCGUACUUAC